AGUUUGAUUAUGGCUCAGAUUGAACGCUGGCGGGAUGUUUUACACAUGCAAGUCGAACGGCAGCACGGACUUCGGUCUGGUGGCGAGUGGCGAACGGUGGAGUAUUAAUGUAUCCGGAACGUGCCUAGUAGCGGGGGGUGCUACCGCGGCGUAGCUAAUGCCACAUACGCCCUUCGGGGGAAAGCGGGGACCUUCGGGCCUCGCACUGUGAAGCGGCCGAUAUGGGAUUGGCUAGUUGGUGGAAUUAACGGCUCACCAAGGCGACGAUCCGUAGCUGGACGAGAGGACGACCGCCAUCCUGGGACUGAGACAGACUUGCAGGAGGCAGCAGUGGGAAUUUUGGACAAUGGGGAAACCUGAUCCAGCCAUCCCGCGUGUGCGAUGAAGGCCUUCGGGUUGUAAAAGCACUUUUGGCAAGGGCGAAACGUACGGAUAAUACCCCGUGCAACUGAUAAUGUUUUACCUGUAGAAUAAGCACCGGCUAACUACGUGCCAGCAGCCGCGGUAAUACGUAGGGUGCAAGCGUUAAUCGGAAUUACUGGGCGUAAAGCGUGCGCAGGCGGUUCGGAAAGAAAGAUGUAAAUCCCAGAGCUUAACUUUGGAACUGCAUUUUUAACUACCGAGCUAAGUGUGUCAGAGGGAGGUGGAAUUCCGCGUGUAGCAGUGAAAUGCGUAGAUAUGCGGAGGGGAACACCACGAUGGCGAAGGCAGCCUCCUGGGAUAACACUGACGCUCAUGCACGAAAGCGUGGGGAGCAAACAGGAUUAGAUACCCUGGUAGUCCACGCCUAAACGAUGUCAACUAGCUGUUGGGGCCUUCCGGGCCUUGGUAGCUAACGCGUGAAGUUGACCGCCUGAAGGAGAUACGGUCGCCAAGAUUAAAACUCGAGAUUGACGGGGACCCGCACAAGCGGUGGAUGAUGUGGAUUAAUUCGAUGCAACGCGAAAACCUUACCCUUGACAUGUCACAGAAUCCGAAGAGAUUUUGGGAGUAUAACAAGAGAACGGAACACAGGUGCUGCAUGGCUGUCGUCAGCUCGUGUCGUGAGAUGUUGGGUUAAGUCCGCAACGGGCGCAACCCUUGUCAUUAGUUGCUGAAAGGGGCACUCUAAUGAGACUGCCAUUGACAAACCGGAGGAAGGUGGUGACGUCAAGUCCUCAUGGCCCUUAUGGGUAGGGCUUCACCGUCAUACAAUGGUCGGGACAGAGGGUCCUUCAGCCCGCGGGGGAGCCAAUCCCAGAAGGCGAUGUAGUCCGGAUCAUGAUCUGCAACUCGACUGCGUGAAGUCGGAAUCGCUAGUAAUCGCGGAUCAGCAUGUCGCGGUGAAUACGUUCCCGGGUCUUGUACACACCGCCCGUCACACCAUGGGAGUGGGUUUUACCGAAGUAGUUAGCCUAACCGUAAGGAGGGCGAUUACCACGGUAGGAUUCAUGACUGGGGUGAAGUCGUAACAAGGUAG
rnacentral:rRNA from 1 species